GUCCUCGUAGCUCAAUGGAUAGAGCGUUUGGUUGCGGACCAAAAGGCUGCAGGUUCGAUUCCUGCCGGGGACACCA
rnacentral:tRNA from 1 species